rnacentral:piRNA from 1 species
UGCAAUCAUUUGACUUAUG